GACGAACGCUGGCGGCGUGCUUAACACAUGCAAGUCGAACGGGCCUUGUCCCCUUUUUUUUUGGGGGUGGGGUUAGUGGCGAACGGGUGAGUAACACGUGAGUAACCUGCCCCUCACUUCUGGAUAACCGCUUGAAAGGGUGGCUAAUACGGGGUGUUCUGGCCUGCUCGCAUGGGUGGGUUUGGAAAGAUUCGACCGGUUUUGGUUGUUUUGGUGGGGGAUGGGCUCGCGGCCUAUCAGCUUGUUGGUGGGGUGAUGGCCUGCCAAGGCUUUGACGGGUAGCCGGCCUGAGAGGGUGGGCGGUCACACUGGGACUGAGACACGGCCCAGACUCCUACGAGAGGCAGCAGUGGAGAAUAUUGCACAAUGGGCGCAAGCCUGAUGCAGCGACGCCGCGUGAGGGAUGGAGGCCUUCGGGUUGUGAACCACUUUCGCCAGUGAAGAAGGUCCUGCUCUUUGUGGUGGGGUUGACGGUAGCUGGGUUAAUGAAGCGCCGGCUAACUACGUG
rnacentral:rRNA from 1 species